CAGAUUAUUUUGCUUGUGAGAGGAAAGUAAUAGCUCUGUAAUGUCCCUCUUCUCCUUCCAGGUCCUUUAGACUGGAUGUUUGCUUUAUUUAUUGGGUUUGCUAUAAAUAGAGGCUCUGCUCGUCUGUAUCCCUGCUUCAUAAGCCUCCUGGGAAGAAAGAAGGACUUUCUUUGAGCAGAUGCACAUGAUACUCCAGAGGACUGGUUGGUGGAGAAGCUAUAGCUUCAUGAGAUCAGACAACAGUUCACACAUGUAGAAGACAUGUGCAACUACUUGCCAUGGAAGAAUCCUGUAAUUAUAACAGGUGUUUUUGAACUGAGCCCUUUAGCUUUAUCCAUUUAACCUUUAUAGGUACCCAGGAAACAGAGCAGUGCUGUGAAACCAAAAUCGUUACGUUGAAUGAAUUCAUUACUGUUGGACUCGCCCCUCCAUGAAAUAGCACUAUGCAGCCAAUUGGAGUUCAUGGUCACAGCCCUUUAUUGGAUCAUCAGGGUUUAUAGUCCAUAAAAAAUACAAAUACAGAACGAAACAAUAACAAUAUGCUACCUCUGACCUACUAUUCCAUCUUAUGAGAUUUUGUCUCUGUCAUGUAUGCCGGAGUAUAGUGACUGACUGUACCCUUUGUUAAGAGGCAGCCUGUGCCCUGCCUAUGGGUUUCAACAUUCCAUUGCCCCAAAAUGGAGCAGUCACUUAGGAUGUAGAAAAUUGUGAGGGACAUGCUGGCUAAUUGAGGCAGGGUCUCAAAAAAAAAAGUACUGUUGGUUAUGGCCUAAUAUGAAUAUUAGCUGCUGCUAUAGCUAUUACAACAUCAGUGAGUUAUUUUCAUAUGAUUCUGCUUUCUAGAGGUGUGUAGAAGUUGAACUGGGACUGCUAAACACUACUGAAAUGUUCAGCUAAACAAAGCUGUCACCAGGAGCUCUGUUUUCCAAGAUGGAUAAUUUAGCCCAAUUUUCAGGCAAAGGUACCUUAAAGGAAAGUUGAAAUUUCAAUAUUUGGACAUUUUAAUCCAUCCUUUAAGCAGAUAAUAUGGCCAUUUAUAUGCCUUCCAAAUUGAUCAUGGAAAUGCAGGAUUUGGCCAGUCCAUAUUUGCAAAUUAGUCUCUCAUAGUUCACAUAAAGGUUGCUCCUUAAAUAUUGCAAAAUGUUCAUCUAUUAAGCGUAUCGCUUCUUUUAAAAUCCACAUUAAAUUCCUAUUUGAGAUCCUCCAUAUAAAGCUUUAGCUCACAUGCAGCAUUCUCCAGAGGAACCUCGCAUUGAGCGUAACCCCAGGAGAUCAGCAACAAACACAGGGCAUUAGAUCAGUUCUUUGAUGUCUCUUUAUAUUUAACCCCAAAGAAAAUUAAAAGGUGAUCUCAAACACUGGUGAACAGGUGGCAACAAGGGCUGCAUUUCUAUUGUUUAAACUUGUGCUCAUAUAUGUGAACCUGCAUGGAUGUGUGUCAUUUAAAAUCAGCUACCGCCACCCACCUAUCUUACCAGGUGGAAAACUUGAUCAGACCUACAGUGUGGACAGCUACAGAGGGAGGGGGAGAGUUGUAUGCCUGGAAACACAGACAUGGGCCCCUCCUUCUCCAGAAGGAGAUGGGAGCAUAUUGGCCCUUCACUGUCCUCCCCUCAUUAAUUUAGAACCCUACCCAGGCUUUUUCUCCCUUUAUCUGCUCCCCGCUUUCUCCCAGUAGUUGUAAUAUAAAAGCUGAGUUUUUAAGAUGCUACACGUCUGACUGAUCACCUGUUUUGGAGUCAAGAAGGAAUUUUUCCUAUUGGAGCCAAAUUGACAGAGACCCGGUGGGAUUUUUUGCCUUCCUUGCAGAAUCAUGGAUGCACAGUUGGUGAAAUAGCAGUAGGGUUUAGAUAUUAAUAUUAGUAACUUGUAAGAAUGUGGUUUUUUAAUUAAUUGCAAAGUGUGGCUGGUGUCCAGUUUAAGGCCUCAAAGGCCAGGUCUUUGAGGCAUGGGCAGCAGGUAGCAUAGGCCUCUCCAAACAGCCUGGUGUCGCCCCACCCACCCUUUGCCCCCAGGCUCCCUCCUGCCUGCUUCCAGUUCCCUUCCUGCUCUUCUAUGGUGGAGAGACUUGGGUUGCUAGUGCUGCUGCUGGUGCUCACAAGGCCCAGGGCUGGAGACACUGGAGCUGGGCCAACGCCAUGCCGCAUGUCCAUCUGCCCAUCUGGAGUUGGGUGCAAUGCCUGUCCAGUGCUCCAGAGCUGGGGGACUCUGGCUGCACUGCCAGCGUGGUGCUCCUGGGGGUGGGGGUGGACCGUCGG